UACGUAGGGGCCUAGCGUUGUCCGGAAUUAUUGGGCGUAAAGAGCUCGUAGGCGGUUCGGCAAGUCGGAUGUGAAAUCUCCACGCUUAACGUGGAGGGGCCAUUCGAAACUGCUGUGACUCGAGUCCGGUAGGGGAGUGUGGAAUUCCCGGUGUAGCGGUGAAAUGCGCAGAUAUCAGGAGGAACACCGGUGGCGAAGGCGGAUCUCUGGGCCUUACCUGACGCUCAGGCACGAAAGCUAGGGGAGCGAACAGG
rnacentral:rRNA from 1 species